AAUUUAUUUACUUGAAGUGCAUCCUUCCAUGGCUUGAGACUGCUGUGUUCCAUCUCCUUCCCUCUUUCCUUCGGACUGAGGUCCUUACGAGAAGAGGAGAUGAGGACACAGACACACACAGAGGGACGACCACGUGAGGACACUGGGAGAAGACGGUGUCUACAGGCCAAGGAGAGAGGGCUCAGGAGGAACCAGGAACCAGCCCUGCCCACACCUAGAUCUCGGAUGUCCAGCCUCCAGAACUAGUAUGUUCAACUCCAUGAAUAUGGCAUUUCACUGGAUAUAGAGGACCAAAGAAUGCCUUUGAGAGACAGUCUUACAAGGCACUGGAAGGUGUCUGACCACGGCAGCCCCAGAACAGGAUUUUUUAACUGAGAGAUAACAGGCAGAAACCCUGAAGGAAAAGACUGAUGCAUUCUACUCCAUGAAAAUUAAGAACUUCUUUUUCUGAAGACUCCAAUGAAAGAGUGAAAAGACAAGCUGUGGACUGAGAGAACAGAUUUGCUAUAAAUAAUCAACAGAGGAUUAAUAUUCAUAAUACAUAAAGAACUCCUACCCAUCAACUUGAAAAGACAACACAAUCGCAGAAAAAUGGGUAAAAGACGCAAACAGGCAUUUCAAAGAAGAAAUCUAAGUUACAAAUAAACAAAUGGAGGUGGGUCACCCAGUAGUAAUCAGGGAUAUAAAAUUAAAACCACAAUUGCUAUCACACAAUAGCGAAGCCGACCACAGAUGUGGAGACAUGGAAAUUGUAGACGCGGAAAUUGCUGUAGCUACUUGGAAAAAUCCUGUGGCGUUACUUGGUAAAGAUGAGGAUAUGCGUAUGACUCAGCAAUUCCACUGAUUACUUCCCCUGGGAAAAUGCCUACAAAAGUGUACUAGGAACCAUCUAUGAAAAUGUUCACGGCACCCGUGUCUGUAGGAGCAAGAGAUGGGAAGCGAUCCAGAUGGUCACUGAGAGGGAAAAAAUGUGUAAGUAGACCUCGCGGUAUGCAGACAGCAGAGUAAUACACCGCAGAGAAAAUUAGUGAAAUAUAGCUAAGUACAUCAACGUAAUUCCUGUAAUUCUAUCAACUGAUUUAUUUACACUAUGUGGUGAGAGUUUAUGAGCGAUUUUGACAUGAUGUAAGUGCAGAAUUUCAGAACAGGAACAGAUGAGAAAUGUCCACGGAGAAAAUAACUUCAGAAUUAUAAUUGGCCAUAGAAUAGGUUGAGAAGCAGCUAUUUUUUUUUCUCUUUCUCUAUUUUACUAAGCAAUAUAUCCCGCAUAUGACUGGACAUUGGUCAAGUGUGUCGACUUUGAUAUUUCUCUAGGCAAGAAGUCAACUAGACUUCAUCAUGCAAAGCUAUUCUAAAAAUAUCUUGUCUUUUUAAAAUGGAAGAAAUUUAUUGUUAAUUUUACAAGUAUACAUUUUCAUAUGUUAAUAAAAUAACCGAAAAUUCAAGUAAUAACCCAAAUAAGGCAUACCGUUGUCUGAUCUUGGUGACACAUGAAAGUCUUGAAUAUUAAAGUAAGUAAAUGUACUUC